UUCGCUAAUACCUUGUCCUAUGAUUCGGACUGAAUAAUUUAUAAGACUUUGGUCUGGUUUUGACUAUACCGGUUUUUAUUUGGAACCAAUUCUAUUAAUUUUGGUUUAACUUCCGGUUCCGGUUUUGAAAGCAUUAAGAAAUUAAAAGCCCUAAAAUGAUUUAUCGUUCCAUCUUCUUCUCCGACGGCUUUUCGCUAUACCUUCUCCUCUGGUCAAGGACUCCAAAAUCGCCGGUUAUAGCUUCUACUCCAACGUCUUCUAAUUUCGUCACUCUCCGUGUUAUCUACAAGUAGUAGAAUCGAGCUUAAAAAAGGUUGAAUUUUUGUCUGAUGCAUAUCCAAGCCAGUUUUAUGUCAAAGUCGAUAAUUGAGUUGAUGAUAACGACAGUUUUGAAGACGCCAAUCCGUCUCGAAUUACUAAUCAGACAAUUACCUAUAAGGUAAAUAUGGUCAAGCUUUGGGAAUUCUUUGACAGAAGUACUAUAACCAACCAAAAUGAAAGGUAAGAAUUCAUUAUCUUGCUUACUACACAACUCAGUAAUUAGCUUAGGUUCAACUAAGUAAGUAUGAAACA